AGAUAAGCAAGCAUGAUACUGGACAGUAGAGCUCAAUAAACACUAGCUGUUGAUAUAAUAGAUAUUCAUUAAUAUCUGACAUGAUGAAGUAUGAAAUGGUAAAAGACUGAUACUAUCAGGGACCUUGAUGAGAGCAGAAUGUCAGCGGCCUGGAGCACUGGGUACGUGAGCAGGCCCGCGGUUCCGCCAUGCUUCUGGGUGGCAGUCUUUGCCUGUGCGGUGAGGAGAGAGGAGAGAAUGAAAUCCGACAUGCACCUAAUUAUACUGCUAAAUAAAGAAAUCUUUAAAGCACGCAAAAGGUACUGAAAACUAGAGGGCAUAAAGUGAUUCCAGUGUACAGGACAGACCGUAUAGAUGAAAAGUAUUUCCUUAAUGGGGAAGCUGAUAGUAACACCAGAAGAGAUACGAGAAGUAUUUAAUUAAUGGAUACCAACCACAAGCUACGAGUGCGGCCACUUGAAAGCUCUGAUUCUUGCUGAGACUCACGUGGAGGUUUCUGGACCAGCUUUUGAAGAAACCAAUGGCCCUGAAAAUAUGCUGGAAAGAAGCUUGAAACUGAAAUUCAAGGCUGACGUACAUGGGGGCUACCUACCCUCAGGUUAUCCAACUGCAAAAAUAAAUGGGAGUGAAGUACUAUGAAUUAUCCACUUUAUCUUUCUCAGUUGAGCUUUCUAGAAAAAGUACAGCCUUCAUUUUUCUGUGGGUUUGAACUGUUGCCUGGACUUAACCUGUAUAAAUGUUAAAUAAAAUAUGUUGUUUCUUCUCCCCACAA